rnacentral:lncRNA from 1 species
AUUCGCUGCGCCGCUUACUCGUCAAGGCACGCCGCGCGCUGACUGGCCGCGGCCACCAGUCUCCAGGCCCCAGACGCCCCUCUCCGCCCCCCCGCCCCCGCCCCCCAGCAAAUAAUAAACAAUCGAGUAAAAUUCUAAGGAAGGAGAGAGAGGAGAGGGAAAAAGGGAGAGGGCGCACUAGAAACCAAUCCUUCGCGCGCUGGCGGUGGGAGGGUUCAAGGGGGGACGCGAGAGGACAGCGGACGGGAGGAAGGCAGCCGACUUGGGGCGGUGGGUCUGCCAGCGAAGAGGAGGCGUCGGGGGAGGAAAGUUGCAGCGCACUCGACUGGGCGCGCCUGGCGGGGUAGGGGGCGCUAGGGCCCGGAGCGGCGGGGCUGGGGGCUCGGGGGCGGGGCGCGACCCGCCGAGGGGGCGGGGACUGAAUGGCGCCGGCCGACACGUGCGGGAGGAGGGCGGGCGCGCGCCACACACACUGGGCCGGGGCGCGCGGCCCUGGUAGCCGCGCGCGCUUGUUUACCAGCGCACGUGGGUGUUAUUUUUAAAUGGAAUGUGGCGCUGGCUGCGCUGCCGAGUGGCGGGCGCGUGGGGCCGCCCGCGCUGGCGGAGGGACGCGGCGGGGCCCGCGGCGCGGCCUCUCCGGGCGCUGCUCGCGAGACAGCUAGGCUGUCCCCACUGCGCGCCGCUGGCAUAGCCGGCGGCCCGGGCCGGGGAACCUGAUUGAGAGUUUCGCGCGCUGCCCGAGCCGCGGCGGAGACGACGGUUUCCCGCCGCGGAACGCCGCCGUCUUUGCGCCCAGCUCGGCUCCCUCAUUCUCACAUUCAGGGAACAAAGCCUCCUGUUUGUGCUUCGCCCAGGAGGCCGCGCCAGUCCGCGGCCACGGUUUCUAGAGCAGAUCUCACAAGCUGCACACACUCACUGGCACACAUACUUUGGCUGCGAGGUGGACCCUCAGCACCCUACGUACUCUGUGUCCUCGCUUCCUUGUACCGAAUGCCCGCAGUCCACAUGUGCCUGUCUCGUGGGCAUGCGGCUCUGCCCACAUAUAAAAGCGUUUCUGCUAUUUCGGGUUGCCCUUGGAAGGGGGAGUCUGGGGAAGGGGGCUCUGACUGCUUACUGCGGUGGCUCCUCCUCACGAGGCACCUCUCCUCUCCUUGUAGGCCUGUCCCACUGAGAAGCCCCAGGUUUGCAUUGGGUUUACAGCCUGGGAGUGUGGAUGGUGAUGUAUGACCACAACUCGGCUUCAAGUGCCAGUGCUUGGGGUGCGGGUUGGGUAUGGUGGUGGUUAAAAGCUGGUAUUCAGCUUUGCACGAAGAACUGGAAGGCUAGAUCACCCAGGGCCGCGCAUCGUGAUGCAGCAUAAAAUUCCAAGAAUUUUCGUUGCUGGCUUUAAAUACUUGUAACACUGUAGAAGAAAUCCACGCGUUUUCUUCUCUAAAUCUAAGCAAUCUUUUGUCAUUAGAGUGCAGACCUGCAAAAGUAGAAAGAAUGUGUUUACAGUGGCUGGGCUCUCGGCCAUUAGAUUUUCACUAUAAACAUGUUGAGUGUCCAUUUACAGAACACAUAUCCCAGGGGCAUUCCAAAAGAGUGGAGGAGUCAAAGAUUCAGUGGAUUAACAGAGCCUUGUGAGCUUCACUUCACAGUGAGGAAUGGGGGGCAGGCACAUGAUAAAGCCAUUUCCCUCAAAGAGCUUACUUGAGGGUAUAAGACAUGUUACUUGGGGGUAUAAAACAUGUUAAAAAGAAAUAUUGCAAGUUUAAAAAUAGUAGAAGGCCGGGUGCAGUAGCUCACACCUGUAAUCCCAGCACUUUGGGAGCCCAAGGCAGGAGGAUGCCUUGAGCCCAGGAGUUCAAGACCAGCCUAGACAACAUGACGAAACCCAGGUGUCUACAAAAAUACAAGAAGUCCCAGCUAUGGGAGGCCGAGGUGUAAGGACGGAUCGCUUGGUCCCAGGAGGUCCAGGCUGCAAUGAGCCAUGAUUGUACCACUGCACUGCAGCGUGGGUGACAGAGUGAGGCCCUGUCCUCCCUCCCUCACCACAAAGGAAAAAAAAAAAAAACAGUAGAAGACAAAUACAAGAGGUCAUACAUAGAGUGUUGGGUAAGUUUCAAGUGAAUUGAAGAUCAAAAAGCUUCACUUGGAAGUGACUAUAAACUUGCAGCUUUGUAAAUGUGCACCUUACCCUUGUAAUUUGUGCAUAUGGGCAAACCUUUGAGAACUAAGAGGUUGAAUCUCAGAGACUGUUCUCUUUUAGCCACAAAUUGCCUCGACCUUUGCCUUCCUC